ACUACUUUGGAGAAAGAACAUCAACGGUGAGAAGUAAGAGCUGGAUUAUUAUGUUGGAGAGAGGACAGACAGACAGUCAGACCUGUAACUGAAAGGUCUGUAAUCUACCUAACUGACCAGACUGACUGACUGCGUCCUCGUCUCCAAAUGUCUCCGUUUGUGUCGUCCAGACUACAAAACAACCUCGGAGUUUUCAGACCACAACGAGGGCAGCAGAGUCUCCAAAUGUUAAAGUUUUAGGGGCUCGGAGACGCUGCAGUAGUGCAGACGCCGCAGUAGUGCAGACGCUGGAGAGUAAACGUAGCUAAAGAUAUUAGUUUAAAAUCAAAACGUAGUAGUGUAGAUGUUGUCUUAAUCGUACCAGAUCGUGAUGCAGCUCUGUCAGAAAGAAGAGGCAUCCUGUCAUCCAAUGGAAACACGAAAUAGGACCAAAACAGAGGCUCAACUAGCACAGCGUGCGUCUGUGUAUAUACUUUUCUAUUUAAAUAAAUCCAUUAUAUGAUGUAAUGAAUGUUGGCCUCCCCAAAUAAACAAAGGCAAUGUGGUUGUUCUAACCUGAUACAAUAGCAGCCUUCAUUCAAAUCCAUCCAUCGUUAAUUCAUUAAUUCACUUUGAGAUACAG